rnacentral:rRNA from 1 species
AGUGAACGCUGGCGGUAGGCCUAACACAUGCAAGUCGAACGGCAGCACAGUAAGAGCUUGCUCUUACGGGUGGCGAGUGGCGGACGGGUGAGGAAUACAUCGGAAUCUACUUUUUCGUGGGGGAUAACGUAGGGAAACUUACGCUAAUACCGCAUACGACCUACGGGUGAAAGCAGGGGAUCUUCCGACCUUGCGCGAUUGAAUGAGCCGAUGUCGGAUUAGCUAGUUGGCGGGGUAAAGGCCCACCAAGGCGACGAUCCGUAGCUGGUCUGAGAGGAUGAUCAGCCACACUGGAACUGAGACACGGACCAGACUCCUACGGGAGGCAGCAGUGGGGAAUAUUGGACAAUGGGCGCAAGCCUGAUCCAGCCAUACCGCGUGGGUGAAGAAGGCCUUCGGGUUGUAAAGCCCUUUUGUUGGGAAAGAAAAGCAGCAGGUUAAUACCCCGCUGUUCUGACGGUACCCAAAGAAUAAGCACCGGCUAACUUCGUG